GCUUGGGAAUCUGCCCAGUAGUGGGGAGUAACCUGUGGAAACGACAGGCUAAUACCGCAUACGUCCUACGGGAGAAAGCAGGGGAGUCUUCGGACCUUGCGCUAUUGGAUGAGCCCAAGUCGGAUUAGCUUGUUGGUAGGGUAAUGGCCUACCAAGGCAACGAUCCGUAGCUGGUCUGAGAGGAUGAUCAGCCACACUGGGACUGAGACACGGCCCAGACUCCUACGGGAGGCAGCAGUGGGGAAUAUUGCACAAUGGGCGAAAGCCUGAUGCAGCCAUGCCGCGUGUGUGAAGAAGGCU
rnacentral:rRNA from 1 species